AAACACACUGCAGGAAAUUGCUUGCUGUGAUAAAUAUUUCCUACAAACCUUCAGCAGAAAUGCAUGAUGAUGGAAUCAGCAUAUCUAAAAUGAAGCCAAAACCAAAGCAGGGAAAAAUUUCUCUUCAGUUCAUCUCUUAUAUGGCCUCAGACAUGCCAGAUGCAGCUCCAGCACAUAGGAAAAUCUGGCCUUUGUAGUGCAGUGACUGUAUAAUGAGGAGGGCCAUCACCUCUGUCCUGCCUUGGAGACCUGGACCCCAUCAUGGCCAGAUUUGCUGCCCUGGGCUUCCUCAACUGCAGAGGGAUCAUUGAUGGUACCCAUAUUUCCCUCCAUGUACCACAACAUCGAGCCACCCAAUACAGAAACUGCAAGGGCUAUUUCUCCAUGGUGCAGAAGGCCCUGGUCAACCACCAUGGACAGUUCACGCACAUUUUUGUUGGGUGGUCAGGCAGGGCAUGUGACGCCCACAUUUUUAGGAAUUCCAGCCUCUACAACAAGCUGCAGGCUGGCACAUUCUUCCCCUGGCAUGACUUUGGGGUUGGGGACGUGCAGAUGCCACUGUGCAUCAUGGGGGAC